CCUACGGGUGGCAGCAGUGGGGGAUAUUGCACAAUGGGGGGAACCCUGAUGCAGCGACGCCGCGUGGGGGAAGAAGCGCCUCGGCGCGUAAAGCCCUGUCAGCAGGGAAGAAAAUGACGGUACCUGAAGAAGAAGCCCCGGCUAACUACGUGACAGCAGCCGCGGUAAUACGUAGGGGGCCAGCGUUAUCCGGAUUUACUGGGGGUAAAGGGGGCGCAGACGGCGAUGCAAGCCAGGAGUGAAAGCUCGGGGCCCAACCCCGGGACUGCUCUGGGAACUGCGUGGCUGGAGUGCAGGAGGGGCAGGCGGAAUUCGUGGUGUAGCGGUGAAAUGCGUAGAUAUCAGGAGGAACACCGGUGGCGAAGGCGGCCUGCUGGACUGCAACUGACGUUGAGGCCCGAAAGCGUGGGGAGCGAACAGGAUUAGAUACCCCUGUAGUC
rnacentral:rRNA from 1 species